GUCGAACGCUGGCGGCGUGCUUAACACAUGCAAGUCGAACGCUGAAGCUCAGCUUUUGUUGGGUGGAUGAGUGGCGAACGGGUGAGUAACACGUGAGUAACCUGCCUCCUUCUUUGGGAUAACGCCCGGAAACGGGUGCUAAUACUGGAUAUUCACUGGUCUUCGCAUGGGGGUUGGUGGAAAGGGUUUUUCUGGUGGGGGAUGGGCUCGCGGCCUAUCAGCUUGUUGGUGGGGUGAUGGCCUACCAAGGCUUUGACGGGUAGCCGGCCUGAGAGGGUGACCGGUAACAGUGGGACUGAGAUACGGCCCAGACUCCUACGGGAGGCAGCAGUGGGGAAUAUUGCACAAUGGGCGCAAGCCUGAUGCAGCGACGCCGCGUGAGGGAUGGAGGCCUUCGGGUUGUGAACCUCUUUCGCUCAUGGUCAAGCCGCAACAAUGGUUGUGGUGAGGGUAGUGGGUAAAGAAGCGCCGGCUAACUACGUG
rnacentral:rRNA from 1 species